GAAUGAUGAGACACAAGCUGGCACCAGUCUGAGAAGACUUGUACUCUUUAUAUGCGGAUCAGCUGCAUAGACUUUCGAGUCGCCCUCUGAC
rnacentral:snoRNA from 1 species